GAUGAACGCUAGCGACAGGCCUAACACAUGCAAGUCGAGGGGCAGCACGAAUCAAGCUUGCUUGAUUUGGUGGCGACCGGCGCACGGGUGCGUAACAGGUGUGCAAUCUGUCCAUAAUCGGGGAAUAGCCCAGCGAAAGUUGGAUUAAUGCUCCAUGUGAGUUUUAGAGGCAUCUCUUUAAUUUGAAACGUAAGGAUUAUGGGUGAGCACGCUUCUGAUUAGGUAGUUGGUGAGGUAACGGCUCACCAAGCCGACGAUCAGUAGGGGUUCUGAGAGGAAGGUCCCCCCACAUUGGAACUGAGACACGGUCCAAACUCCUACGGGAGGCAGCAGUGAGGAAUAUUGGUCAAUGGGCGCAAGCCUGAACCAGCCAAGUCGCGUGAAGGAUGAAGGUUCUAUGGAUUGUAAACUUCUUUAUACGGGAAUAACAUCACCUACGUGUAGGAGCUUGUAUGUACCGUAUGAAUAAGCAUCGGCUAACUCCGUG
rnacentral:rRNA from 1 species